rnacentral:tRNA from 1 species
CAGAAAGUAGUUUAUUUAAAAUGUUAGUUUUGGGGAUUAAUGAAAAGAUUAUUAUCUUUUUUCUGA